CUCCUUGCAUGGCUUGUUAGUAAAGGUUUUUGUUGAGUUUUAAGAACAGUUUUAAAAACAAACUCAACAAUUCAGAGAUUCAGUAACUGAGAACUGGCAAUGCAGAAUAAGAUGUGGCAUGCACAGGUGAGGACUGGAGGAACUGUGAGUGCCAGCUGGAGGAGAGAAGGCCAUGCCUGAACAGCCCACUCCCUAAGGAACCAGCAAGUGAUUCUUGAACAUUUAUGCCAGAGAAAUGAAGACUUAUCUUGACAUGAAAAUGAAUGGACGUUUAUUUGUAAUAGCCAAACCUGGAAACAAUCCAAGUGUCCUUCAACAGAUACAGUAUGGAUAUUCCUUAUUCCUUUGGCUCGGACAGCUUUGUUAAGACUGGCAUCAGUGUGCAUAUCUGGAAUUGCCAUCUCCUUCGUGGCAAAUUUCUGGAUCUCUCUGAGUGCCUGAGAGACACGCUUCUUGAAGCCCCUCCAUGGAUGCACUUGUGAAUGUCGAUGAUGUAUUCUUCAGUCACCACCUCAUUGAUGGCAGAACGGCCCUUUUUCUUCUUGUCACCCAUCUUUGCAG
rnacentral:lncRNA from 1 species